UUUUGUUUUGUUAGCAUUCUCCUCUACUGUGCAGAAGCAUUUUAUCUUGUUCAAGUCCCAAUAGUUCAUUUUUAUUUUUGUUUCCCUUGCCUGAGGAGAUGCAUCUAGAAAGAUGUUGUGAUGGCCAAUGUCCAAAAUGACUGCCUACAUUUCCUUUUAGGAGUUUUGUGGUUUCAGGUCUCCCAUUUAGAUCUUCCAUCCAUUUGAAUCUAGUUUUGUGUUACGGUUUCAGAGAGUGGUUCCCUUUCAUUCUUCUGCAUGUUUCUGCACCAUUUGUUGAAGAGGCUGUCUUCUAUAUUCUUGCCUCGAGGAGGCAACCUGUAAGUUGAGAUCUCAGGAAUGAAGAGAGACAGGGGCAAGGAGGCACAUUCUGGACACAGGGAAAAGCCUCUGCAAAGGCCCUGAGGUCAAAAGUGCCGGUCUGCUUUGAGGAACCAGAGCAGGCCAGAGUGGCUGGAGGACGGUGAGCAAGGGUGAAGUGGUGCAGGAAGCCAGCCUGUGGCUGGAAGCCGGCUCAUGGGAGGUCAUGGAGCUUGGGUUAGGGCCCCAGAGGAAGCCACCUCUGAGGCAGGGAGAGCCACGCCCUGACUGCCACUUCACCGUGCUGUCCCUGGCUGCUGUGUGGAGAGCAGACUGGAAGGAGGAGGAGAGGCAGGACUGCAGUUGGAGGCUGCUGACGGGGGCCUGGCUGGCAAGGGAGAGGGAGAGAAGAGGGAGGAGGUGAGAUGUGCUUUGGGGCCAGGAUGCUGAACGGCACUGGGAGCACCAGGCCCAUUCUGGUCCAUUAGCAGUGGGGCCAGGCACCUCCCCCGUGGGCACCCACACCAGUGACUUUCUUUUGGGGGCAGAACCGUCAGGACUAUGUGGUGAGGGGCAAGCAAGACUGUGAGGAAAGAGGAGGAGUGGUGGCCCAGGCUGCUGUCCUGCUGCCUGGGUGGUAGGGGCACAGGGCCCAGCAGGCCUGCUUGAGGCCUCAGCUGGGACGAUUGGGUUGGAGUGAACCAGUUGGCUUAGGGUGACCCAGGACAUGGGGCUGAGCUGUGAACAGAUGGUGGCCACAGGGCCCUGGGGACCCUGGCUGCAGACGGGAGCACUUUGGGAGGGACAUCAGCCUUGCAGUAGCUCCUCUGAGUAUUCUUCUCAGGGAGGAUGAGAUCCCAAAAGCUCCCCCAACCCCAGGCAGCACCCCUACUUAGAGCUCCACUUGCAUGCUUGGGGACAUCCUUUCUGCAUCCUCCCCUCCACCCCGUCCUAAAGUCACGGUAGUGCUGGGCUGUCAUGUGUCAAGUGUAGCCUGGUGUGGUCCGGCUGGUGGGAGCGGUUAUGGCACAGGGCAGGCUGGUGGCCGCGGGCACCACAUGGGAUGCCCUGUGGGCUGAAUGCGGUCUCCCGGCCAGCCUGUCCACCCCAGGGCUUUUGCUGACAACGUGUUCAUCUAUUUCUACCACCCCACUGCUCACUUACUGCCCACACUGAGGUGUUUCCCUUCUCCUGAUCUCAGCUUGAAUUCUGACCCAGCUGGAGGUGGGGUGGGGGCUCUCCUGACGCCUUGAUCCGGAUCCAGCCUGCCUGUCCUGCACUCUGUCGGGGCCUUCUGCAUUUGGAGCACUUCUCAUCGGGAGUGAAAUGGAUACAUCCAGUGCCCUGUGAUUGGAUGCCGCAGGCUGGAGCAGCAGUUGGAGGCCGGGACUCUUUGCAGAUAAGGAGCCUCUGUAGCUUUCAGAACUGCAACAGUUUGACCAUUUCCCAGGCAAAUCCACAAAGAAGCAAAAAUGUUCACAAGCAGGUUCACUCCUGGAAGCAGAAUUGGACAGUUGAAUGGGUUUAUGUGUUCUUAUUCCUAUUGGUUUCCACAGAGGUUAGUGCAAAGGCUCAGCCUGGCUCAGAGACGUGCCUGGGGUCCCCACUAUAUGGCAAACCAAUGAAGAAUCAUGUCAUCCCCUGAGAUCCGCAGAGCAUGGUGUUCCUCAGGGGACUCAAGGCUGCCUUCGAGUUUUUGGAGAGACUGGAAACAAUCUUACCUUGCUCCCAGCCAGACCUCCGGGGUCCUGGACACCUGCUUUCAACAUGCAGAAAUUCCUGAGACACGUUAUCUCCCCCGCCCCAAACCUGAGAGUAUACAAUCAGUCUGGCCUCGCAAUCCCAGGGCAGUGCUCGCCCACAGGUCUGUCCCCACACUGCAAUAAAAGCUGCUCCGAAGAUGUC